rnacentral:rRNA from 1 species
CCUACGGGUGGCAGCAGUGGGGAAUAUUGCACAAUGGGGGAAACCCUGAUGCAGCGACGCCGCGUGAGUGAAGAAGUAUUUCGGUAUGUAAAGCUCUAUCAGCAGGGAAGAAAUACUGACCUUACGGUCAGCAGACGGUACCUGACUAAGAAGCCCCGGCUAACUACGUGCCAGCAGCCGCGGUAAUACGUAGGGGGCAAGCGUUAUCCGGAUUUACUGGGUGUAAAGGGAGCGUAGACGGCAGCGCAAGUCUGAAGUGAAAUCCCAUGGCUUAACCAUGGAACUGCUUUGGAAACUGUGCAGCUGGAGUGCAGGAGAGGUAAGCGGAAUUCCUAGUGUAGCGGUGAAAUGCGUAGAUAUCAGGAGGAACACCGGCGGCGAAGGCGGCCUGCUGGACUGAAACUGACGUUGAGGCUCGAAAGCGUGGGGAGCAAACAGGAUUAGAUACCCAGUAGUC